rnacentral:rRNA from 1 species
AUGGGAACGCGAAGAACCUUACCUACUCUUGACAUCCAGAGAACUUUCCAGAGAUGGAUUGGUGCCUUCGGGAACUCUGAGACAGGUGCUGCAUGGCUGUCGUCAGCUCGUGUUGUGAAUGUUGGUUAAGUCCGCAACGAGCGCAACCCGUUAUCCUUUGUUGCCAGCGGUUAGGCCGGGAACUCAAAGGAGACUGCCAGUGAUAAACUGGAGGAAGGUGGGGAUGACGUCAAGUCAUCAUGGCCCUUACGAGUAGGGCUACACACGUGCUACAAUGGCGCAUACAAAGAGAAGCGACCUCGCGAGAGCAAGCGGACCUCAUAAAGUGCGUCGUAGUCCGGAUUGGAGUCUGCAACUCGACUCCAUGAAGUCGGAAUCGCUAGUAAUCGUAGAUCAGAAUGCUACGGUGAAUACGUUCCCGGGUCUUGUACACACCGAGUCGUGGGA